GGGCGCCGCGAGCCCGCAUGGUCUCCCCGCGGAAGGCUGGGGCCCGUCAGGAGCCCCCCACCUCCGUCCCUGCGCGGGCGGAGCGGGAGAGGCCGCGCUGGCGCCGGGCAGGACCCACGGGGGGCUCCCCCUCCGCCGUUCGCGUUCGGGUCGGGAGCUGGGGGGCGCGCCCCCUCCAAGCCCCUCUCUGGAAUCCCCACGCCGCGAAGUCGUAGCCCUGUGGCCGUGACACCCAGUGGGUUGCCAUGGAGACGAUUCGAUGUUAAGGGCUGGCAUUCUCAGUGAGGGUUGCCAGGGGUAUGAGGAAGGCGGACCUGGGGAGCGGGGACCCCGGCUUGGAUGGAGCCGUGGCUGCGGCUGCUGGCGUCUUUUGGAGAGGGCUAGACCAGGAGCUGCGAGGGAGAUGGGGCUCCGGCCCGAGAUGGCCCCGGCACCCAGACGGGGCGAGGGGCAGGGAAGGGGGAGGCGGGUCCUCUCCCCCGGCCCGCGCCACCGCGCCACCGCGCCACCGCAGAGAUGACUCGGCGGAUCCGCGCCGGGGCCGGGCUGUCGCCUGUGACUCUGCUUUAGGGGAGCUGACAGGGAGAUCGCGAUGCUGCCGCUUUGCUGGGGGCCCCAGAGGAGGGAUGCCCUCCCCAAAGGCUUGCAGGACGUGACUGGGGGCAGGUAGAGUUCAGAGGAAAUGCAUCUCUGUGGUCUGGUCUGUCGCCUUACAACUGCAAAGCCGCGGACCUCCAGCCGCAGAGCCCCCCCCCUUACCCCAGGGAGCUGGUUAAUAAUACAGAUUCCCAGGCCCCGGUCCUGGCAGACAGAACUGAUCUCUGGGGUGGGACCCAGGAAUCGGCGUUUUAACAAGCACCCAGGGUUGUUCUGCACACUGAAAUUUGAGAAUCCCUGAUCUAGAAAGUUGAGAACACACUACGCGUGUGUUCUCUAAAAUGUUAGGAGAAUGUUGAGGAACCCCGUGCAGAAACGGCUCCCACCGGCCAAGGCGCCAAGAAAAGGUGGGUGGGUGGGGGCGGGGCUUAAAAACCAACGCUGGAGACAGAGACCGCCUGGAAAAGUGCAGCCCCAGAGCUGCUCGGAGUGAUUUGCACAGAACGGACACUUAACUGACAUUUGUCAAUUUGCUGUGUUUAAGAACAUUGCUGAACCAACUUAAAAGGCAUUUAAAAAAAGAAAUUGAGGAAGAAAACCUUUCAGGAUUCAGAAACUAUGAAAUUUUCAGUUACUUGUUUGUGAGAUUGUUUCUGAGUCCAAUAAAGAUGCUCAGCUUCGAUGAUUUUGUUUUUUUGAAGCUCAGAAUUAAGUUCCCGUUAGUCUUGGGCAGUUCGGUGCAGCGACUUGCCGAAGGCAGGUUUCUGUGUCUCCCAUACGUGGCUCUGAAGGACCCAACAAAAGUAAAAUAGCUUGUUAUUUAAUGAAUGUAAAGGACUAGGGUGUAGGUUGAAAUGUUUGAAACGAUCUCUGUAGAUGCUUGGGUUUGCCAAAUUCUUAGUCUUUCGCCCAAAGCAGCUAAUUACUUUCAAAACUCUGGUAAGCCUCAAUUUACCCAAAUUUAUGAUUUCUGGUGGUUUGGCAUGAAACAGGGCUGCCUUUAUUACGAAAUGUUUUGCAUCUGCUUGACAUGGAAGUAAACUUAACAGUGAGGAGAUUAUGUGAGGGCUUUGCCUUCUUGACAAAACAACUGACAUAUAUGUGAAAAACCUAGGCUUUGGGGUUGAAUUAUUUGGACCAGCAGUAUGUAUUAAACUCCCUGGUCAAUACCUACUUGGCUGUGUGGCCACGACCCUUGGGAGGGAGGGUGGGCUCCACGCCACCCAGGUGGGGGGAUUCCUGUUCAUGACCUAUUAUAUCUUGUAAAAGGGCCACCAGAUGCCAGAGCCUUGCAGCUACUAAACCCAGGCAGGGCUCAGGAAAUGCUGCCCGGAUGGGUGAGCCCUUUUCACACCUCUCGGGGUGGUUUUUCACGAGGUGUUCAGGGUUUGCAGAGCUCUGAGGCUCUGUCACUGCGGGGUGACACCCCAAACUGCCCAGUGCCCUGCCCUGUUUCAUAGGCCACGGACCCAGGCCCUGCCUGUAGGGUGACUACUGAUCUGUUCCAAAGCCAGACAUGCAUGCCGGGGCUACAUUUUAUUUGAACUUUUUUUUUUUUUUUUCUUUUGAGGCCACUGGACUUCAGGAAAAGCACUUUUCAGGGAAUCAAAGAAGUAGUGAAUGAAGGAAAAGCAGAGAAAACUGGUGAGGCUUGAUUGGAGGUGAAACUUCCAGGAAAUAUCAUUUGCCUUUUAAUUAGAGGAAAUCAUUUUGAACGACCCUGAGUCAUGUGCCCCAAAGCACAGAUUCUGGCGUAAAGAAACGAUCUGGACUGGUGACACAUGACAGCAUUUGGUCACGAGGAAAGAAUGAUCUUCAGGAAAAAUCACACCCUCAGCGAGGGAUUUUUACAGAGGCAGUGGAAACCCUUGAUGAAUGGAGAAAGGUGCACAGAGGCCAAGGAUCAGGGGCAGCACAAAUGCUCAAUCGGAGCAAUCGGAGUGAGCGCAGGACGGGGUCACAGCCUGGUUGGCCUCAGAGGUGCCCUCUUUUCUUGCAAGAUCUGGAAGCCCUGCAAGAGGUGAAACAGGAGUGAUGACAGUGAGGAUUAAGGGGGAUGAUGUCUGGCCUGGGCUUCCCCUCAGUGUCUGAUGGCCAGUAAGGACACUCUACAAAGAAGCUACUAUUAUUAGCUAUUAAGCUUCAACUGUUGAAAGGCACCAAGGAACUCCCAGAAGAGGGUCACUGCUGCAUGCAGCUCUCUUUGAAGAAUGUCCAGCAGUAAUCCCGUACAAAGCCAAAAAUGAUGCAUGAAUGGCAAAGGUGAGGGUGCUCAUGCAACGUACCGGUGAAUUAACGAUUCCACUCCCUUGGCAGUGAAAACAGCAGAUCAGAAUGUGCAAAGGGGAGCAAGGUCAAGGCCAUAGGGUAGAGCCCAGCAGCAUCAGUACCUGGCACAUAGUAGGCCUCCAGUACUUGUUGCCUGAAUGAAUGUUUAAUUAUAAAAAUGAUUUAGUUAAAGGGCAUCUCUGAUUUCUCCGACGAUAAGACCACAGUUAUCCAGAAGAUGUAAUUUCUGCCUCCAAUAUUUUAGGGUCUUAGGACGGAAACUAGUGUGCUAAAGAGAGGAAACUCAAAACAAGGACCUGCUAAUGAUUCUCUCCUUGGGAUGGAGGGAGUGCAAUGGAGUCCUGGGGAACAAAAACAAAAGCAGGCACAUAAGGUCAUGGAUUGGCCCAAAAUAACUUGGGACACUGGAGCAGAGAGAUGCAGGCAGCACAUCUUGAUGGAAACGAGGCCAAGUUGAUAAGCCGAAAUAGUCUGCGCUCACUGGGUGCCCUAACUCCUGCUCCAGGAGGCCUCGGCACGGAAAACAGGGACGCAUUAGCAUUAGCAGGUUUGGGUUUCCUCUUGUUAGUAUAUUGCUUUCUUUCCUAAGUCCCUAAAAAAUUGGAAACCACUCCACUUACCAGGAGCACACUUUGGAAUGCAGAUCCAGAAGCUAUUUUUUUCUCCCUAGACAUUUCAUGACUCUGGUUUCUACAACAGCAGGCACUGGUGACGCUGCCAAGUUUCUGGAGAAGGGCAUCUUAUCUGCAAAGUCACGAAUCCAGGAAUCCAAAUGGGCUGCCAUUGGCAAGGCGGAAGGAAGUUGUUUGUCUUAGCUUCUUGGAGGAUCAGAAGAAGACUGAAGGUUUUGGGGGCCUGCAGGGGAAAGGUUGCCGGUAGCUACUCAGAACCACAGUGGGGGCUGUGUAGCACAGUGUCUUAGUAAAUGCCAGUUUGGUCGCACAUAAUAGAAACUCAAACCAGCUGCAGCAGAAAGGGGGCAGCUAUGGGGAAGAAAAGCCAGUGCCUGAUUGUCCAAGCCUGACUCUCUGGCUUUGCUUAGCCACUGAUUCUCUCACCUUUCUGAUUUGCUUUCAGUAAACUCCCUUUCUGCUUAAGUUAGCCACAGGAGGUUUCUGUUGUUUGCAAGCAAGGAAUCUUGAGAGAUGCAAAGGGUCCUAGUGGAACCCAAGAGCAGGUCUUGGAUCUGGCCUUUGCAAGGCGAGGAACUAGGAAUCAGAACGUCUGGGAAUCGGGGGAACUCUCUCCUUCUGUGUCAGUCAGAUAUAUUCAGCUUCAAAUAACAGAAAAUCUGACGUGGGUGGAUUGUAAAAAUUUGGAGCCCUUACCACACCAACUCUGGCUUUGUCUGAUGGGAUGUUAAGAAACACAAGGCAGGUAGAGACUUGAAAGAUGCUUGUGCACCAGGGCUUGUUCUCACCUGCUGCUCCUGGGAACCCCUGACCACAUGAACAAGCCUGGUCUAGCCUGCUGGAGCUGAGUGGGUGUGCUGAGCAGAGACAAGUGUCCUAGCAGAAGGACACUCUAGACCAGGUUUCUCAAACUUUGUACUUAUUGACAUUUUAGAUCAAAUAACUCUUCAUUGUGGGUAGUUGUUCUGUGCUUUGUAGGAUGUCUGGAGGUUUCCUUGGCCUCUACCCACUAGAUGAGAGAAGUACCUGCUCCCACACCCACCCCCCUGGUUGUGAUAACCAAAAUCACGUCCAGACAUUGCCAAAUUUAUCCUGGGGGGCAAAGUUGCUCCUAGUUGAGAAUUACUGUCCUACCCCACCUCACCUGCCCAUGACCAGGCAUGUAAAUGAGGCCAUUCUAAACCAUCCAGCCCCAGCGUGCCAGACCACACAGGAAAAGCCUAGCUUCACCCAUGGAAUCAUGAGAAAUAAUAAAUUUGUCAUUUCAAGCCAUUAAAUUUUGGGUGGUUUGUUCCACAGCACGAAUGUAUAUACCUUACUAUGGUUGCUUAAAUAGAUAAGGAUUUAUUUGUCUUAUACAAGAAGUACAGAGGUAGGCAGUGUGGUCACAGUUCGGAGCUCAGGGAUGCCACCAGGCACCCACCCAGGCCUUGCUGUCUUUGCACUCAUUGUCCUUGGCAGGUGGGCUUUGGCCUCUUGCUCGUUGCCUGGCGAUCCCCAGGUGGCUGCUCUAGCUCCAAGUCUGAGUUCCAGGCAUGAAAAAGGAGACAAGGCACAGGGACAAAGGGCAAAUGCUUUCUCCCAGAGAAGCUUGCCUUUUAUUCCAGCAGGGAAGCCCUCCUCAGGGGCUUUCAUUUAUAUGCCAUUGACCGGAUCUGUACAACAUGGCCCACCCUAGCUGCAAGGGAGGCAGGACAAUCAAGGCCUUUGGUUUUGAGCCUAUAUGGCAGAGGAAAGCGAUGGCUAAGUAAUGACUAAGUAGACUCAGUAUCUGCAGUACUUGCUGCACUGUCUCUCUGGGUUCUAUAGUUUCUUAUCUCUAUUUGUUGCAUAUCUACUCCAGUCUCCUUUUUUUGAAGACUGGCUUUGUUUCUCUGAACAAACAAACAAAGACUGGCUUUGUUUCUCUGCCCCAGCCCUGGAACUGCAUCAAGACUCUCAGCUCCAGCACCAGGAAUGAUGUGAAUGGCUUCCCAGUGUCCCACCUUCCAAUACCAAGGACAGAGGUGCUGAUUGGCCCAACUUGAAUUAGGAGAGAAAUAUGAUUGGUCUGUCUCAAGUUGAGUAUCUACCACUCAGCCAAUCAGCUAUGGCUAAGGGAGCAGCAUUAUGUAGGGCAAACCUGCUGGGGGGGGUUGCAUUCUCUGGGCAAUGGAGGGUGUGGUCCAGGAGAUGCCCCCAAAACUAUGCUUUUCUAGGAAUGAAGAGAAUAAAUUGACACUGCGAUUGUAAUGCUGGUAUGAUAAAAAUUAAGGUGUCCUUUGAAAGACCUAAAAUACAGCUGAGUCACACAGACAUUCUAUUUAACUUACGCAAAUUCAAAUAUAGAUGUUCAACAAAUAACGUAUUUUUCACACGGUUUGGCUCCCAAACAGGAGCCAGCUGCUUGCACUGCUGCUUCACCAAGUGAUCUGCUCUGGUGCUGGAGAACAACUUGCUGUUUGGGACAUUGGGGAUGUGGUUCAGCCUAAAUAACACCAGGCUCUUUACAGGAAAUUUCUGGAGUCUUCAAGAGUAUUUGUAAGGUCGUUCUGCUCCCCUUUGUCAUUGACUUUAGAGCCUAACUGUGGGUAACAUGUGUCUCCCAUGGAACAUCACACAGAACAUGUUCUAUUUCUCCCCAUUUUAGUAAGUAUAAAAAAUACAUUUGGUUUUCAAAUAUAAAAAAUAUUUUUA